ACAUGUGGAGCGCUUAGAAGUGAGAAUGCCGGUGUGAGUAGCGAAAGACGGGUGAGAAUCCCGUCCACCGAUUGACUAAGGUUUCCAGAGGAAGGCUCGUCCGCUCUGGGUUAGUCGGGUCCUAAGCUGAGGCCGACAGGCGUAGGCGAUGGAUAACAGGUUGAUAUUCCUGUACCACCUAUAAUCGUUUUAAUCGAUGGGGGGGACGCAGUAGGAUAGGCGAAGCGUGCGAUUGGAUUGCACGUCUAAGCAGUAAGGCUGAGUAUUAGGCAAAUCCGGUACUCGUUAAGGCUGAGCUGUGAUGGGGAGAAGACAUUGUGUCUUCGAGUCGUUGAUUUCACACUGCCGAGAAAAGCCUCUAGAUAGAAAAUAGGUGCCCGUACCGCAAACCGACACAGGUAGUCAAGAUGAGAAUUCUAAGGUGAGCGAGCGAACUCUCGUUAAGGAACUCGGCAAAAUGACCCCGUAACUUCGGGAGAAGGGGUGCUCUUUAGGGUUAACGCCCAGAAGAGCCGCAGUGAAUAGGCCCAAGCGACUGUUUAUCAAAAACACAGGUCUCUGCUAAACCGUAAGGUGAUGUAUAGGGGCUGACGCCUGCCCGGUGCUGGAAGGUUAAGAGGAGUGGUUAGCUUCUGCGAAGCUACGAAUCGAAGCCCCAGUAAACGGCGGCCGUAACUAUAACGGUCCUAAGGUAGCGAAAUUCCUUGUCGGGUAAGUUCCGACCCGCACGAAAGGCGUAACGAUUUGGGCACUGUCUCAACGAGAGACUCGGUGAAAUCAUAGUACCUGUGAAGAUGCAGGUUACCCGCGACAGGACGGAAAGACCCCGUGGAGCUUUACUGUAGCCUGAUAUUGAAAUUCGGCACAGCUUGUACAGGAUAGGUAGGAGCCUUUGAAACGUGAGCGCUAGCUUACGUGGAGGCGCUGGUGGGAUACUACCCUAGCUGUGUUGGCUUUCUAACCCGCACCACUUAUCGUGGUGGGAGACAGUGUCAGGCGGGCAGUUUGACUGGGGCGGUCGCCUCCUAAAAGGUAACGGAGGCGCUCAAAGGUUCCCUCAGAAUGGUUGGAAAUCAUUCAUAGAGUGUAAAGGCAUAAGGGAGCUUGACUGCGAGACCUACAAGUCGAGCAGGGUCGAAAGACGGACUUAGUGAUCCGGUGGUUCCGCAUGGAAGGGCCAUCGCUCAACGGAUAAAAGCUACCCCGGGGAUAACAGGCUUAUCUCCCCCAAGAGUUCACAUCGACGGGGAGGUUUGGCACCUCGAUGUCGGCUCAUCGCAUCCUGGGGCUGUAGUCGGUCCCAAGGGUUGGGCUGUUCGCCCAUUAAAGCGGUACGCGAGCUGGGUUCAGAACGUCGUGAGACAGUUCGGUCCCUAUCCGUCGUGGGCGUAGGAAAUUUGAGAGGAGCUGUCCUUAGUACGAGAGGACCGGGAUGGACAUACCUCUGGUGUACCAGUUGUCGUGCCAACGGCAUAGCUGGGUAGCUAUGUGUGGACGGGAUAAGUGCUGAAAGCAUCUAAGCAUGAAGCCCCCC
rnacentral:rRNA from 1 species